UUAUGUCCACUUAAAUGGACCAAUGAGCGCACAGUUAAAAAUUAUAUGAAGUGCGCCGCUAUUGAUAUAUCUACUGCUUUCAAUGAAUUUAAUUUGUAACGCACGUAAACAUGUGUAUAAGAGGUUUUGUUAUUGUAGCUACAUUCAUAAUACUUUAUUAGCGUAAUACGAUUAGCAUCGAUUAUUGUGCAUGUCUUAUAUGCUAAUGGAAAAUUUAUAUUGUUUACAACACUACAAUCGUUGUGUCGCCUGAUAUUCGAUGAUAUGUGCUUUCAGAUAUGCCACGUAUCGCGAGAUGUUUAUGCGUCACGAAUGUAACAAAUAAUUUUUGCAUUGGAUUGAAGAAAGUUCUUUCUGCGACCGAAACACAAUGGUAAUGGGAUUUUUUCUAAAAAGACAACGUGCUUUACAUAAGGAUAUCAUACAAUGAUGAAGGAAUGCUGUAAUUUUUCUGAAGAUCAAUAGAAGCUGUUGUGAUACGAUAUGAAAUUCGAUAAUUCCACUGCAAAAGCAUUGUUCGACAAGCACUUUAUAAUCUCGGAAAACACAGAGGACACACAGAGCCUAGAGAGAACUGAAUAUGUGUUACCAGAGCCAGAAUGCAUGUUCAAGGAGGAACCAUGGCAGAAAGAUAAUCUACAAACUUUGAAAAACGAACUGAACAAUGUGAAAAGCCGCUUAAACAACUUCACUCUAGAUGAAUGGCAGCAGCAUACCUACCAGAUGAACCAGGCGGGCGAUGUGCUAAGCUGUAUAAAAAAACAGAUACAGCCAGAAUUCAUUACUCAAGCCUGGUGCAAGUUCUACGAGAUUGCGUGCAACUUUUCCUUAGUGCCAUUGAAUAAAAUUUUGCAAGAGAGCAAUGGAGGAAACGUCUGCAGCUUUACCUCUGUGCACCUGUGCGAAGCACCAGGUGCUUUUGUGGUCGCCUUGAACCAUUGGCUGAAAUUGAAUGCCAGCAAUGUACAAUGGGAUUGGAUUGCCAGCACGUUGAAUCCCUACUGUGAAGGAAAUCCUUACAGUCGGAUGGUGGAUGAUGAUAGGUUUGUCAGACACACUUUGAAGCACUGGUGCUUUGGCACUGACAACACAGGCAAUAUUAUGGACUUGCAGAAUCUGGACGCCCUGGUAGAGAGAUCGAAGACCAACAGUGGAGGACCGAUCAUGCUAGUCACUGCGGACGGAAGUAUCGAUUGUACGGACAUGCCAGAUGAACAGGAGAAUGCCGUGGCGCACUUGCAUUUCUGCGAGACACUCGCAUGCAUGCAUCUACUAGAAAAAGGCGGUAACUUUCUAUUGAAAAUGUUCACCUUAUUCGAGCACCAGUCUGUGUGUUUAAUGUAUCUGCUAUCCUGCGCUUUUCACAAAGUGACCGCAACGAAACCGGCGACCAGCAGAGCUGGUAAUUCAGAGAUGUACGUAGUCUGUGUGAACUUCAAGGGUAAGGAUUACAUAGAACAGUAUCUGAACGUUCUCAGAUGCCACUACGAGGCGUAUCCAACACGAGUAAUGUUCAGUUGCCAAGUUAUUCCGGACUGCUUCAUACGGAAGAUCGAGAAUUGUUGCAAGUUCUUCAAGCGCCAUCAAUGCAAAGCAAUAGAGGACAACAUAAAUGCAUUUUAUUUGGAAACGUACAACAAUCUCCUUUUCAAGUUGAGAUAUUUCAAACGAAAGGUCUCUUUCAUGUAUCUGAAGAAGUAUAAGUUGACGAAAAUAGAUGUUAAGGAUGAAAUAGUCGGUCGAGAGAUCAUAGAGAGAAACACCAAUUACAUCAUGACUAGAAAGUUACGUUAUGAUUCUUACAACGAGCGUUGUAGGAAGUUAAACUCGACAUCGCAAGAACGUCUGCAGCAGAUAUGGAACAAAGCGGGAGAAAUUGAGGUGCCGAUAGAAAACUAUUACACUUGUAAUCUGCGGACUUUGCCAGAGACUCUAGAGAUACGAACGGGAAAAACAUUUUGUGGGAUAUACAACUCGCGCUUUUGCGAGGCGAAAAUUCUACAGAUAUUAAAUGAAACUAACAUUAUACAAGAUAUGCAUCCUGCCACCUGCUUUCCAUCUGCGGAGAUCACAGAAAUGUGCAUAGAUCCGAUCGAUCAGCAUUAUGACAUCUUGAGCUUCCAAUUCACUCACGUUUACGACAGUCAUCGGAUAAUCGUCGAAGUUUGCGAUCGAUUAGAGAAACUCCAAGUUAAACAGACUCUAGUUCUCAUCAACUACCCUUUAUUAACACAGUUAAGCGUCGGGCUUUUAUACAUCUUGGGAAAUUCUUUUGAGAAGAUAACUAUAGAAAUUUAUGCUAAUGAAGGUUAUCGCAUUAUAUUGGAGACAUAUCGAUCUGACGAGAAGAUAUUAAAUCACUUGCGUACGAUCCUCGCUGCAUCGUACAAUGCGCGCAAUGAGAAUAUGGCAAUUUGGUCGAUAGUACCUAUGACAAUUUUAUACGAAUGGGACCAGUAUCCUGUUAUAAUGCAACUCAACCACCUAGCAAUCAAGUUGCACACGUUUCGCAUACUUGAAAUGUUAGACAAGAUGUAGCAACGGGGGAACUAUAAAAAUUUCUUCUAUACGCUGCAAAUUCGCUCAUCCUUCUAUCUAACGAAGAUAUAAUCUAUGUGUGCAAAAACUUUUGUUUAUUCAUAAAAUGCAUAAUAUAAAAUGGAAUAUCAUGAAUGGGGAAAAUUGGCUGCAUGUAUGGGAAGAUGUAACUCGAGUGUCGUGCUUGUAGGUGGGUGUUUUCAUGGCAUAGGCCAAGCGGGAACAAAUACGUCUCAGAACACGCCUCAUGUUUAAAUGCAUGAAACAAUGAUCGAGAUUUCGAUCUGUAAAAGGAGUAUUUUUUGUACGAAUAACAAAACAGCAUUGUGCGAGGUCUCGGCUGAACGCUUCUUUGAAAGAUAAAUUGCAGCUAAGAACUUAAUACACGUUCUAGAUCAACACGAUUCGUAAA